CCUACGGGAGGCUGCAGUGAGGAAUAUUGGUCAAUGGACGAGAGUCUGAACCAGCCAAGUAGCGUGAAGGAUGACUGCCCUAUGGGUUGUAAACUUCUUUUAUAUGGGAAUAAAAUGUUCCACGUGUGGGAUUUUGUAUGUACCAUAUGAAUAAGGAUCGGCUAACUCCGUGCCAGCAGCCGCGGUAAUACGGAGGCUCCGAGCGUUAUCCGGAUUUAUUGGGUUUAAAGGGAGCGUAGGUGGAUUGUUAAGUCAGGUGUGAAAGUUUGCGGCUCAACCGUAAAAUUGCAGUUGAAACUGGCAGUCUUGAGUACAGUAGAGGUGGGCGGAAUUCGUGGUGUAGCGGUGAAAUGCUUAGAUAUCACGAAGAACUCCGAUUGCGAAGGCAGUUCACUGGACUGCAACUGACACUGAGGCUCGAAAGUGUGGGUAUCAAACAGGAUUAGAUACCCGAGUAGUC
rnacentral:rRNA from 1 species